CAUGUGGUUUAAUUCGAAGCAACGCGAAGAACCUUACCAGGUCUUGACAUCCUGUGAAUCCUCUAGAGAUAGGACGUCCCCUUCGGGAGCAGAGUCACAGGUGGUGCAUGGUNGUCGUCAGCUCGUGUCGUGAGAUGUUGGGUUAAGUCCCGCAACGAGCGCAACCCUUGAUCUUAGUUGCCAUCAUUCAGUUGGGCACUCUAAGGUGACUGCCGGUGACAAACCGGAGGAAGGUGGGGAUGACGUCAAAUCAUCAUGCCCCUUAUGACCUGGGCUACACACGUGCUACAAUGGACAGAACAAAGGGCAGCGAAACCGCGAGGGUAAGCCAAUCCCACAAAUCUGUUCUCAGUUCGGAUCGCAGUCUGCAACUCGACUG
rnacentral:rRNA from 1 species